rnacentral:rRNA from 1 species
GACUAAGCGUACACGGUGGAUGCCUUGGCAGUCAGAGGCGAUGAAGGACGUAUUAACUUGCGAUAAGCCCAGAUUAGGCAGUAAAAGCCACUUGAGUCUGGGAUUUCCGAAUGGGGAAACCCAACUGCAUAAGCAGUUACUGUUAACUGAAUACAUAGGUUAACAGGGCGAACCGGGGGAACUGAAACAUCUAAGUACCCCGAGGAAAAGAAAUCAACCGAGAUUCCGAAAGUAGCGGCGAGCGAAAUUGGACUAGCCCUUAAGCUUUACACGCGUUAGACGAACGGUCUGGAAAGUCCGACGAUACAGGGUGAUAGUCCCGUAGUUGACGACGUGUGUUCAGUGAAAUCGAGUAGGGCGGGACACGUGAUAUCCUGUCUGAAUAUGGGGGGACCAUCCUCCAAGGCUAAAUACUACUGACUGACCGAUAGUGAACCAGUACCGUGAGGGAAAGGCGAAAAGAACCCCUGUGAGGGGAGUGAAAUAGAACCUGAAACCGUGUACGUACAAGCAGUAGGAGCAGGCUUUGUCCUGUGACUGCGUACCUUUUGUAUAAUGGGUCAGCGACUUAUAUUCAGUGGCAAGGUUAACCAUCUAGGGGAGCCGUAGGGAAACC